rnacentral:rRNA from 1 species
AACGAACGCUGGCGGCAUGCCUAACACAUGCAAGUCGAACGAGACCUCCGGGUCUAGUGGCGCAUGGGUGCGUAACGCGUGGGAACCUGCCCUUAGGCUCGGAAUAACUCCCCGACGGGGGUGCUAAUACCGGAUAAUGUCUUCUGACAAAAGAUUUAACGCGCUUGGAUGGGCACGCGUUGGAUUAGCUUGUUGGUAGGGUAAAAGCCUACCAAGGCGAGGAUCCAUAGCUGGUCUGAGAGGAAGGUCAGCCACACUGGGAGUGGGACACGGCCCAGACUCCUACGGGAGGCAGCAGUGGGGGAUAUUGGACAAUGGGCUAAAGCCUGAUCCAGCUAUGCUGCGUGAGUGAUGAAGGCCUGAGAGUUGUAAAGCUCUUUUACCCGGGAUGAUAAUGACAGUACCGAAAGAAUAAGCACCGGCUAACUCCGUG